AUUGCCUAGGGAUCUUGUUAAAAUGCAGAUUUUGAUUCAGUAGGUUUGGGGUGGGGGCUGAAAUUCUGCAUUUCUAGCAAGCUCCUGGGAGAUGCCUU
rnacentral:pre_miRNA from 1 species